rnacentral:pre_miRNA from 1 species
ACUGUGGUCUUGAUCCAAAGCCCAUUGAAAUCAAUGGAAGUCUUUCCACUGAUUUCAGUGGGCUUUGGAUCAAGCCUUAAAUAAU